UGGAUGUUUUAAAUGAGGAAACAUGGAAAUCACUGUAUUUGAGAUCCUGGAACAAAUCUAAAGCUGUAGAAACUGUUUCCCUUAAAUGAACUGUACAUGCAAAAGACUGGUAGGGCACCUGCUUCUACCCUGGGACAUGCACAUGGGUCCACAUGGUUCACCAUGGUACAGCCUCCACCUAACUGUAGCCUCUCCUUCAUGCAUGCCCCCAAAGGACACCUUUGGUCUGCUGUCCAAGUACCCCACGUUAUAAGAUGCAGAAGUUAAAACCUCUCCCAUCUCUCAGACAAGAGGAACCCUCCAAAGUUGGCAAGGGGGCUUGAAACUACUCCCAGGAGUGGCUGAAGGCAUUUAUUAAUUUCUGGAGAAUCUUGCCUCAGAAAUCCAAAUCCAUGGGUACUUUCUCCAAUACAUAAAUUCACAAAUUAACAAAAAAGGAUAUGUCUGUUGAAUAAAAAAAAGGAAAGUACUUAGUAGCUACUCAUUGAUUAAGCAAGUCUACAUAUCAACUCACUUGAAUUUUAGAAGCAGACAACCUCCAAAUGGGGACUACCAGCUCCAAGGAGACUGGACACUCAGGUGAUGGGAGCUACUAGCUCUCCCCAAGGAAACACAGCAUGAGACCAUUGCUUUGUGCCCAAGCUGGGAGUUACACCAGGCUCCUUCACGUGGGGUCUGGCAAAAUGCUUCUACCUAGGUCAGUCCCUAACUUGCUGGGUGAUGUCAGGAAAUCCCUGGGCCUCCAUUUCCUGAUCUAUAAUAAGAAGGUGAGCUCGAUUAAUCAGCGAGAUCCCCCUCCCAAGUUCCAUAUUCCAUAUUCAGUAAGGAGCACCCAGAGUGUAACUCAUUCCUCUUGAAUCAACCUCUCUUCCCCCUGCCCAUACCCCUUCCCAACAGAGGCCUGAAGGUGGGUCAGAGUGGUUCCCAAUCAAGUGAGCUAUAAUUAGAGUUGAAAAGCUACUUUCAUUAGGCAAAUGUUCUGGGCUUUUCUGUUAUGACCCUGGCUAUAUUUUUUUAAGUACAGAAUUCAGAACCAGAAAGAAUGGAGCUGGGAGAUAUCUUGCCCAAUCAGGGGCAAACAACAUAGUAGGGGGAAAUGUAAGAACUGGGAGCUGCUGCCACAUCCCUUUUCCUCUCAUCAUAGCCCCCCUCACUUAUACUGUUCUAAUACUAUAAUAUUCUAAUAUCUUACUAUUAUAAAAUGUUGUGUUGUGGCAGAGGUCUUAGAAGCCAACAUAAUAAUAAAAAUAACACCAUCAUUUACUCUGGUACUGACACUUGCACUUUUUCAUGAGAUCCUCACAAUCCCUAUAUGGCAGGUAUCAUUGUACCAUUUGACAGAUGAAAGAAACUGAAGCUCUGGAAAACUGGGCAAUUGGUAUGAGGUCUCACAGGCUAAUGGACCAGACCCACCUAUAUCAGAUACCAAAUCACUAUACUUUAUUGUCUAUAAUUUUUCUGCUAGGGGUGAGGAGUGGGACUCUAUCCUGGGAGCUGGCACAGUCCCAGAAACCUGGUAAGCUAUGGAGAUUGCUAUGGCAACGACAAUUAAAUGGACAGCGGGUUGGCUGCCGGGAUCUCAUUCUGCUGGGAAGCUGUGAGCAAAACUACUAUCAGGCCCUGCUGCCCCAAGUUCUGCCUGACCCUUGAGAUCUCACUCUGGCAGACCUCUUCCAGGAAGCCCUCCCCAGCCAUGGGCCUUGCCUGCCUCUGAUCAAUGUUAACGGGAAGCAGGGAUCCUGGUCCUUGUGCCUCAAAAUACUAAGAGUUCAGGAAUCUUGAUAUCAUGAAAUUCUGGAAUGUUAGAGGUCAGGGCCCAGACAGGAAUGAGAAAUAGGUGUCCUGUCCAACCUCAGAGAGCUUGAAGAGCCUGUCUUUCGUCCCAGAAGGGGGACCUGCCAUGAAUAAGCUGUGUAUCUUUGUGCCAGAUGCCUCUACAUGCAGGCUAGAAGAAACCCAAGGAAUCGGAGUCCACCUACAGAUGGGGAAGAACCUAAGUCGCAGAGAGGAAAGAAGCCGGCCCAGGAAAACCCAGCAAGGCAGGGACAAGAGCCAGCUCCCCUGUCUCUCAGCCCUCGGCCCCCAAGCAGCCCUCUCUGAGCUCUGCACAAGAGGUCAUUGUCAAUACCACUUCUUGAUAAAUCAUAGUCUGCAAUCAUUGUAAAGUGAACACCUGUAUAAGCUGUGGCACUGGGAAAUUCUCCCCCAUAGGAGUUCAGCAUCCAAACAAAGAAGCAAAUA